rnacentral:lncRNA from 1 species
UGCCUCUCUCUUUCAUUAUCACUUUGCUUCCAGAGGAUCCUAUUCUUCCUCUUCUGGAAGGAUUAGUGUGUCUGGGGCAGGAAUUCAGAAGACAGGAUUGGCUGGUUUUGCUUCUCCUUCCUCAUCCUGGAUCUCUUAUAGGAAUCACAAAUGGGUGAUUUGAGAAAGGAAAAUAUAACUUUCUCUCCACAAGAAUCAUCUGUAAGAGAGAAUUUGGGGCCUGAAGAUUAAACAAUUUCCCCUGUCUCCAUUCUGCAUUACAUCAACUGUUUGAAGAUAUGUCCAGGAAAGGCUGUACAAAAGCAAGAUUAAAUAAUAGAACUAGAUUGAAUGGAAGUGUAAAAGUUAGAAGGUAGAAAAGAACAAUGGUAGAACUGUGGGGGAAAUGGAUUCCCCCCCCCUGCAACUUUAAUUCAUUGGGCUGAAUUCAGCCCAUGUCAGUAGUGGCUGUGGUUGGGAUUUUCUCAGGAGAUUUAAGGGAGUUAGAUGGCAUGUUGUUUAAGCUCCUUUGAAAAUCUCAUCCUUAAUCAUUGGUAUCUGAAGGCUUUUACACCCUAACUCAGGGAUCAGCAAUCUGAAAGAUAAGAAAAUCAUUUUUUAAAAUUCCUUCAGUAACCCAAGUAUUUUGAGAGCUGCAGUGGGUGUAGCCUCCCGGUUAAGAAACUGCAUAACAGAACAGAGACGCAUAUUGACUUUUAGCAACAAAAAACAGUAU